rnacentral:rRNA from 1 species
GAUGAACGCUGGCGGCGUGCCUAAUACAUGCAAGUCGAGCGAACGGACGAGAAGAUUGCUUCUCUGAUGUUAGCGGCGGACGGGUGAGUAACACGUGGAUAACCUACCUAUAAGACUGGGAUAACUUCGGGAAACCGGAGCUAAUACCGGAUAAUAUUUUGAACCGCAUGGUUCAAAAGUGAAAGACGGUCUUGCUGUCACUUAUAGAUGGAUCCGCGCUGCAUUAGCUAGUUGGUAAGGUAACGGCUUACCAAGGCAACGAUGCAUAGCCGACCUGAGAGGAUGAUCGGCCACACUGGAACUGAGACACGGUCCAGACUCCUACGGGAGGCAGCAGUAGGGAAUCUUCCGCAAUGGGCGAAAGCCUGACGGAGCAACGCCGCGUGAGUGAUGAAGGUCUUCGGAUCGUAAAACUCUGUUAUUAGGGAAGAACAUAUGUGUAAGUAACUGUGCACAUCUUGACGGUACCUAAUCAGAAAGCCACGGCUAACUACGUG